rnacentral:lncRNA from 1 species
UUUAUUUCUUGAGAUAUGCUCUUAUGAUUUCUCACAUUCUCUUUUUUAUCAACAAACUACGGGCUAGGUUUUAUGAUUGAAUCAAUCUGCAAAAGCAUUCAACUGUUUCUAUCCAGUUAAAUCUUGGCAAGCAUUUGGUGAGGCUUAGGAUUGAUUCUUUAUUACCUCUUGCUUUUGUGUUCUCUAAAUAAAUUGAUGGUUUCUUCGAUCUAGGAAACCUAUAAAGUGAGGAGUGAAAUAUAUUGCAAAGGUUUUUUUCC